CAUACCGGGACCGAGGCUGGGCCACGGCGGGGCAGGCCUGGUGUGUCAGAGAGUGUACCGAUUAGUGUGAUGCGGCACAGUAUCCUUUGAGGGUCACGGAAUGACAUGACCUGGCUGUUUCUGUUCCGAGUGGGGCGGAAAGCCGGGGAAGGAGAGCCGCAGUAUGCGGCCGCAGCCCGCGUGGAGUGUGUGCGGCUAGACGUCAACGUGAGCGUGAUGGCACACCUCAGUGAUCUUGACAAGGGCAGGCUCAUCUUGCUUUUCGAUCAAGGUCACUCUGUCAAGCAGGCGGCAGAGAUUCUCGGUGUAGCUCUAACUACUGCCAGACGGUGGAAACACCGUUAUGAGCAGGAAGGGGAAAGGGGUUUGAAAGCGCGCUAUGAUCAGUGUGGAAGAAAACGGAAGACGACGGAGGAGGAAGACAGGCGCAUGGUGGAGGUGUUUUUGCCCUCCGUGGAGGAAAUGCGCCCCGACGAGGAGUGACCCUGGAGUCUGGACUCUAAUGCAAGACAACGCCCCUAUCCACACAGCGAGGGCAGUCAAGCAGUGGUUCGAAGACCACGCAGACUCAGUUCGUGCCAUCCCCUGGCCCUCAAUGAGCCCAGACCUGAACCCUAUCGAAAAUGUGUGGUCUCUAAUGGUUCAUGAGCUGGAGGAGGAGCUGCGCCAGCC